rnacentral:sRNA from 1 species
CGGAAGGAUCAUUAUGAAUUAAUAAUAUUUGUGAAAUUUCAACAAACAACAUCAAUUUUAUAGUCUAUUAUUUUUAAUUAAAACUUUUAACAAUGGAUCUCUUGGUUCUCGUAUCGAUGAAGAACGCAGCGAAACGCGAUAUUUCUUGUGAAUUGCAGAAGUGAAUCAUCAGUUUUUGAACGCACAUUGCACUUUGGGGUAUCCCCCAAAGUAUACUUGUUUGAGCGUUGUUUCUCUCUUGGAAUUGCUUUGCUCUUCUAAAAUUUCGAAUCAAAUUCGUUUGAAAAACAACACUAUUCAACCUCAGAUCAAGUAGGAUUACCCGCUGAACUUAAGCAUAUCAAUAAGCGGAGGAAAAGAAACCAACAGGGAUUGCCUUAGUAACGGCGAGUGAAGCGGCAAAAGCUCAAAUUUGAAAUCGGCCCCCAGGUCGAGUUGUAAUUUGUAGAUUGUAUCUUGAGAGCGGAUUAAAGUCUGUUGGAACACAGCGCCUUAGAGGGUGACAGCCCCGUAAAAUCUAUUCUCAUUGUAAGAUACUUUCGAAGAGUCGAGUUGUUUGGGAAUGCAGCUCUAAGUGGGAGGUAAAUUCCUUCUAAAGCUAAAUAUUGACGAGAGACCGAUAGCGAACAAGUACUGUGAAGGAAAGAUGAAAAGCACUUUGAAAAGAGAGUGAAAAAGUACGUGAAAUUGUUAAAAGGGAAGGGUAUUGAAUCAGACUUGGUGCUGUUGUUCAACCAUGUUUUGGCACAGUGUACUCAGCAGUACUAGGCCAAGGUGGGGUGUUUGGGAGUGAAAAAGAAGUAGGAACGUAACUCUUCGGAGUGUUAUAGCCUACUUUCAUAGCUCCUCAGGCGCCUCAGGACUGCGCU